GACGAACGCUGGCGGCGUGCUUAACACAUGCAAGUCGAACGAUGAUCAGGAGCUUGCUCCUGUGAUUAGUGGCGAACGGGUGAGUAACACGUGAGUAACCUGCCCCUGACUCUGGGAUAAGCGUUGGAAACGACGUCUAAUACUGGAUAUGAUCACUGGCCGCAUGGUCUGGUGGUGGAAAGAUUUUUUGGUUGGGGAUGGACUCGCGGCCUAUCAGCUUGUUGGUGAGGUAAUGGCUCACCAAGGCGACGACGGGUAGCCGGCCUGAGAGGGUGACCGGCCACACUGGGACUGAGACACGGCCCAGACUCCUACGGGAGGCAGCAGUGGGGAAUAUUGCACAAUGGGCGAAAGCCUGAUGCAGCAACGCCGCGUGAGGGAUGACGGCCUUCGGGUUGUAAACCUCUUUUAGUAGGGAAGAAGCGAAAGUGACGGUAACUGCAGAAAAAGCACCGGCUAACUACGUG
rnacentral:rRNA from 1 species